AUAUCUCUCCGUACGGGAAGGAUGAGAAGCUUCGACUAAGGUUCGAUUCGAGCGAAAGCGAGAAAGCGUUGCC
rnacentral:sRNA from 2 species